GAUGAACGCUGGCGGCGUGCCUAAUACAUGCAAGUCGAGCGAACAGACGAGGAGCUUGCUCCUCUGACGUUAGCGGCGGACGGGUGAGUAACACGUGGAUAACCUACCUAUAAGACUGGGAUAACUUCGGGAAACCGGAGCUAAUACCGGAUAAUAUAUUGAACCGCAUGGUUCAAUAGUGAAAGACGGUUUUGCUGUCACUUAUAGAUGGAUCCGCGCCGCAUUAGCUAGUUGGUAAGGUAACGGCUUACCAAGGCGACGAUGCGUAGCCGACCUGAGAGGGGGGUCGCCCACCUGGGAGCUGAGACGGGGUCAAGACUACGACGGGAGGAAGAAGUGGGGAAUCUGACGCAAGGGGCGAAAGCGUGACGGAACAACGCCGCGGGGGAGAUAAGGGUCUUGGGAUCGUGAAACUCUUUUAUGGGGGAAAAAAAAAUGUGAAAGUAACUGUGCAGGUCUUGACGGAACCAAAUCAAAAAGCCACGGCAAACUACGUC
rnacentral:rRNA from 1 species